GUCUUUGCCUUUUGAGCCGGCCCCUCCGUUUUUGUGACCGGAACCUGGUUUUCGACCCCUAGGGAAGAAAAGCAACACCAUCAACACACAAAAAAAAAAAAACUCUCAUGCAAACCUGACAUUUGGAUAGAGGAUGUAUUAACACGUCAAUACCUGCGUGGCGGCUUUUCCCCCACCGCCUCAGCGUGGUUCUCGUCCCCGUCACCCUGCAUGUCCGGCACAGUUGCCACCAGAUCUUUCAAGAAAUCAAACUGCUGCUCCAGUUCAAUGCAUUGUUUUCUGUCCACACACGCAUUCACAAAGAUCAAGUAUCACCUUUGAGCUUGCCGACAACUUCUUGUAGUAUUUGUGACUUGAGCGACGUGAGAGUAUCGAACUGGCUGGCUUUGGACAAACUAUCGCCCCCCAUUUCCUUGUUAAAAAAGCUUUGCUAGCAUCGUGUGGCAUCUCACGGUAUUUAUGAUAGAGCACCAAAAAAAAAAAAAAGGAGCAAAUAGACGGCAAAACUUACAAGUGUGACGUUGUCAUGGUCUUGGCAUUCUUGGACUGGGUGACGUGACAGGCCUUUGUGAGCAAAGACUCGAGGAAAAGCUCCAGGGCUCUCG